rnacentral:lncRNA from 1 species
AAUUAAUCAUGUUGAAGCUAAAUGAAGUAGUUAUGUUUUGUUCAGAAACCCCGCCCCUUUUCGAAGGAAACCAAUUCGCGCCCAUCGCCAUUUUGUCUCUUGCUGUGGAUGGGAUCUGAGCUCUACACUGAGACCCCUUAUUCUCCUGGACUGUUUAUUGUUUAUUUUUUAUUUUUUAUUUUUUUGGAAUGCUGUUUAGUAGUGAUAUCUGAUAUUUCACCAGACAAGUGCACUUAUUGACAUCCACUUCACUGUCAGUCCAAAGCCUCUACAUUAAUGGGUGCACAGCUGCAGUUAGAUUGGAGUUACCAAAACAUCCACACUUUGGACAUUUCUGCCAUUAUCCAUGUACGUAUUCAAAGACAUGUGAGUAAGCUUAUUGGUGGCCCUUCCAGAGGCUUCCAGAUAG